rnacentral:rRNA from 1 species
CAGUAGCCACGGUAAUACAGAGGGUGCGAGCGUUAAUCGGAUUUACUGGGCGUAAAGCGUGCGUAGGCGGCUUUUUAAGUCGGAUGUGAAAUCCCUGAGCUUAACUUAGGAAUUGCAUUCGAUACUGGGAAGAUAGAGUAUGGGAGAGGAUGGUAGAAUUCCAGGUGUAGCGGUGAAAUGCGUAGAGAUCUGGAGGAAUACCGAUGGCGAAGGCAGCCAUCUGGCCUAAUACUGACGCUGAGGUACGAAAGCAUGGGGAGCAAACAGGAUUAGAUACCCCUGUAGUCCCUGUCUCUUAUAC